rnacentral:ncRNA from 1 species
GCACAACGGGGAAGCGAUGACCCGCCGGGCGCAAUUGGUCGCCUUAGCCCGGCGGUGAGCAGAGGCGAAACCGGCCCGUUCCUUU